rnacentral:rRNA from 1 species
AGGGAAUCUUCGGCAAUGGGGGCAACCCUGACCGAGCAACGCCGCGUGAGUGAAGAAGGUUUUCGGAUCGUAAAGCUCUGUUGUAAGUCAAGAACGGGUGUGAGAGUGGAAAGUUCACACUGUGACGGUAGCUUACCAGAAAGGGACGGCUAACUACGUGCCAGCAGCCGCGGUAAUACGUAGGUCCCGAGCGUUGUCCGGAUUUAUUGAGCGUAAAGCGGGCGCAGGCGGUUUGAUAAGUCU